GGAGGGGUGUCCGAGUGGUUUAAGGUGCUGCUCUCGAAAAGCAGUAGACGAAAGUCUCGUGGGUUCGAAUCCCACCCCCUCCGCCA
rnacentral:tRNA from 1 species